rnacentral:rRNA from 1 species
UUGACCUCGGAUCAGGUAGGAAGACCCGCUGAACUUAAGCAUAUCAAUAAGCGGAGGAAAAGAAACCAACAGGGAUUGCCCUAGUAACGGCGAGUGAAGCGGCAACAGCUCAAAUUUGAAAUCUGGCUUCGGCCCGAGUUGUAAUUUGCAGAGGAAGCUUUGGGCGCGGCACCGACUGAGUCCCCUGGAACGGGGCGCCAUAGAGGGUGAGAGCCCCGUAUAGUCGGACGCUAAGCCUGUGUAAAGCUCCUUCGACGAGUCGAGUAGUUUGGGAAUGCUGCUCAAAAUGGGAGGUAAAUUUCUUCUAAAGCUAAAUACCGGCCAGAGACCGAUAGCGCACAAGUAGAGUGAUCGAAAGAUGAAAAGCACUUUGAAAAGAGGGUUAAAUAGCACGUGAAAUUGUUGAAAGGGAAGCGCUUGUGACCAGACUUGCGCCUGGCUGAUCAUCCGGUGUUCUCACCGGUGCACUCUGCCAGGCUCAGGCCAGCAUCGGUUCUCGCGGGGGGAUAAAGGCCCUGGGAACGUAGCUCCUCCGGGAGUGUUAUAGCCCAGGGUGCAAUGCCCUCGCGGGGACCGA